AAGUGUAAACAUCUGAAACUUGAAAAUCGUUCUGAAAGUUUAGUUUCCCAAAAUGUGCGUUUUGUUCUGAAUUAUAUUUAGUUUAUCGUAUAGAAACUGAUAAUGAGUAAUUGUUUAAAAAGUCGCAAAUCUCAUCAAUGCAAAACCCGACGUAGAACGCGUGUAGUUCGAAUCGUUCGCCGCCAACCAGCCGAAUCAGCACAACCGACAGAUCCCCCCACCGAAAGCCAGCCUAUCGGCUCCCAUCCGGUCCGCCAAAUCUGCAUCAAAUACCUGACCUGCCCCAACCCGUUGUACGAACGAUGGCUGCUGGAGAUGAUUGCCGAAGCGCAGGAAAAGGACGCCAAAAGCCGGCUGGUGCUACAGAAGGCUCUAACGUCCCUGAGGCGCUAUCCGCUGCCAAUCCGGACGCCGAGGGAUUGCAUCAUGCUGACCGGUUUCGGGAUGGGAAUUUGCGAAAAAUUGGUGGCAAAGCUGAACAAGUUCAAAAGGGAUGGUGGGGUGCAGUUCGAUGAAGCGGCGAGCGAUGCGAUGGUUGAGAAGAUGUUGAACGAUCGACAGGGAGAGUUGUACCGGAAGUUGGUACCGGGCGAGGCAGCUGCGUUGGAUGAAGAAGAUAACGAGAUUUUGGCACCAACCGAGGAGCAGUUCGAGAUACCGGAUGAUUCGGUGUUCGACCAUUUGGACAUCGUUGAAAAUGAACAUCCGACAGUGUCGAAUCCAAAGGCUAUUCUGCUCGUCGACACUCAGGAAACCAUUGGCAAAUCCAAAACCAACCUGGAUCGGACCCUGAAGGAACUGGAACAGUACCACAUUGACUUUGAGGUUCGUCGUUUGAGUGCCGGUGAUUUCCUUUGGAUUGUUCGGGACGAUACUGGAACCGAGUACAUCCUGCCGUACAUUGUGGAACGCAAGCGGAUGGAUGAUCUAGCCAGUAGCAUCAAGGACGGUCGCUUUCACGAGCAAAAGUUCCGGCUGAAGCAGUGCCGGCUGGCCAAUGUGGUGUACCUGAUUGAGAAUCUGGGCCAGAAUCGUCAGGUGGGUGUUCCACAGGAUACGCUAACUCAGGCGGCGCUAAAUACCUACGUGCAGGACUUUACGGUGAAGUACACGGACGAUCAUCGCCACACGGUGCUGUAUUUGUCGAUUAUGACGGAGCUGCUUAACAAAAACCUUGAGGGUAAAACUUUCUGGAACAUCACCAACCUAUCAGUGGAGGCAACGGCCGCAACCGCGUCAGAUUUCAACCUAAAUCAGCGUACAGUUCCGUUGAUUUCGUUCGAGUCUUUUAACAAAGAUUCGUCCAAAACGGCCGACUGCACGGUACGGGAAGUCUUCAUAAAACAGUUGCUUCAGAUCAAGCUUCUCGCGAUCGAUAAAGCAAACGCCAUCGUCGACAAGUAUCCAACGCCGAAGGAACUAAUCCUGGCCUAUGAGCGAUGCACAAGCGAAGAGGAGAAGGAAAAGCUGCUUAACAUUCCGUACGGACCUACGAGGCGGACAAUCGGAUUGAAGCUAAGCAAAACCAUCUACCAGCUGUUCAUGAGCGACGUCUAUCAGUAAUGAGAUUAACUCGAUUGCGCGAGAGAAUAUAUCUACGCGGAACCAGCGUUCAUAUAUCAUUCCACGUUCGGAUUGUAAUUUUUGUAACAGGACAUUUAAAUAUUCGGAAUCUGUUGACAACCUCGGCUAUUUUUUUAUAUUCCAAAUAUACGAGUACCUGAGCAUUCUUUGGUCUUGAAUGGAUUGAACCGACUAUGGAAAAAAGCGUUGACAACUCAAACUGAUGACGAUUUGAAUAUCAUUCUGCAAGACUUGCAAUCCGAAUGGUGUAGAAUACUAUGCGUACACUAGUGUUUGCUAUAUCUUUACGCAAGCAACCUUAUGAAGGGCUAAUAUAGAUCUCUUACUGAACUGGUAUUCCCUAUAUUGAGCGAAUAAUGGCCCUGUAAGUCCAAAAAGGAGACAUGUUGUACGAUUAAUUACUAGGAUACAAUGACCGUGUUAAGAUAUGUAGACAACGUGUACACGUAGUAUUAAUAAUGAUGAACAUAUCCCGAUACACCCAUAGCAUUAGUAUCAUGCCUCCUACCCAUUGCCAGGGAAACCUCUUCGGAUUAAAUAGAUGACACACAGCCCGCCGGAAAUUCACUUAUGCCAUUUGCUUUGUGAUCUAUAUUUUUGAACGCUUAGUCGUAUGUGCGCGGCGAGUGCUAGCCCAGGAAGAAAGCACCACACGGACAAACGGAACGAAUGUGAUAACUCUACAUAUCUACAGAUUUUAAACUUAAUAAAUGGAGCAAAAAUAAAAACAAUCGCUUCCGCUCGGAGCGAAGCGUUUUUGGCUUUGGCUGUGCUGCCGGAGGCAUCGUUGU